AGUUCACCCUUUCCCAACCCUGGAAAAAAAUGUCCACGCAGAGGAAACGAUGGCGUCAUUUGUUUAGAAAACCACGAGCAGCAGAACAGUGCAGAAAAUUAGAGCGAUUAUUACAUUCCGUAAAAACUGAACGAACACAGAAGCAUCCCUGUUCUAGCCAUUUCACCAUAUGAAAGGUGAAGAUAACAAACAGUGAUCCAAGUUUUAAGAAAGCCAAGAGGUUGAUAACAAUGACUGUACUCCUUAUGUUGACUGGAAUUAUUGACUGGUAUGCAGUAAAACAGCUGAGGGAAAGUUCAACUAUUAAUUCAUUUCAGCCGGGUAGUCUGGCAGUAUUAUAGGUAAUCUGGCAGUAAUGGCAUGACAUCAUGAGAGCUAACCAACAUGGUUAAUGAUGUAUAGAGACACUGUCUGAAGACCUCGAGGGAAAGGCAAGGAAAAUGGAUGAUCCACUUCCUAUAUCCCUGUAAAAAAGAGGAAGGAUACCACAAUAUUGACGAUAAAUUAUUGUCAAUUCAAGAAGCAAAGUUGUGAAAAUGCAAAAAUAAUAUCUAAUGUAUUUGUUAGAAAAAUAUCAUUAACUGCAUAUAUAUUUCUUGACCUUAUUCAGGAAUACAUCAAAUGUAGUCAUUCAUAUUAAAACUGAAUCUAUGAAUUUUCAUAACUUUUAUCAAUAAAGUUUACUAUAUUUAUUUUA